rnacentral:pre_miRNA from 1 species
GAACUCGUCCAUAGCAUCAUCCAUCCUACCCUUCAACGGUGGUUGCCGAUUCCCCACGGUGGGUAAGAUGGCUGAUGCUAUGAAUAACUUCA